GGCAGGUGAUGUCUAGUAACUUCACGAUGGUCUUCAGAUGCCCAGCGCGGGCACUGCUGAGAAAGUCGCUAUUAUGCAUAGCUGAUGCCAGAAG
rnacentral:snoRNA from 1 species